rnacentral:rRNA from 1 species
GCGCCUAACACAUGCAAGUCGAACGGAGCUGAGAGGAGCUUGCUUUUCUUAGCUUAGUGGCGAACGGGUGAGUAACGCGUGAGUAACCUGCCCUGGAGUGGGGGACAACAGUUGGAAACGACUGCUAAUACCGCAUAAGCCCACGAUCCGGCAUCGGAUUGAGGGAAAAGGAUUUAUUCGCUUCAGGAUGGACUCGCGUCCAAUUAGCUAGUUGGUGAGGUAACGGCCCACCAAGGCGACGAUUGGUAGCCGGACUGAGAGGUUGAACGGCCACAUUGGGACUGAGACACGGCCCAGACUCCUACGGGAGGCAGCAGUGGGGGAUAUUGCACAAUGGGGGAAACCCUGAUGCAGCGACGCCGCGUGGAGGAAGAAGGUUUUCGGAUUGUAAACUCCUGUCGUUAGGGACGAUAAUGACGGUACCUAACAAGAAAGCACCGGCUAACUACGUGCCAGCAGCCGCGGUAAAACGUAGGGUGCAAGCGUUGUCCGGAAUUACUGGGUGUAAAGGGAGCGCAGGCGGACCGGCAAGUUGGAAGUGAAAACUAUGGGCUCAACCCAUAAAUUGCUUUCAAAACUGCUGGCCUUGAGUAGUGCAGAGGUAGGUGGAAUUCCCGGUGUAGCGGUGGAAUGCGUAGAUAUCGGGAGGAACACCAGUGCGAAGGCGACCUACUGGGCACCAACUGACGCUGGGGCUCGAAAGCAU